UACGUAGGGGGCAAGCGUUGUCCGGAUUCAUUGGGCGUAAAGAGCGUGUAGGCGGCCAGGUAGGUCGGUUGUGAAAACUGGAGGCUCAACCUUCAGAGGUCGACCGAAACCAUCUGGCUAGAGUCCGGGAGAGGAGAGUGGAAUUCCUGGUGUAGCGGUGAAAUGCGCAGAUAUCUGGAGGAACACCGGUGGCGAAGGCGGCAUCCUGGACCAAUACUGACGCUGAGGAGCGAAAGCCAGGGGAGCAAACGGG
rnacentral:rRNA from 1 species